CCUACGGGUGGCUGCAGUGGGGAAUAUUGGGCAAUGGGCGCAAGCCUGACCCAGCAACGCCGCGUGAAGGAAGAAGGCUUUCGGGUGGUAAACUUCUUUUGUCAGGGAAGAGGAGAAGACGGUACCUGACGAAUAAGCCACGGCUAACUACGGGCCAGCAGCCGCGGGAAUACGUAGGUGGCAAGCGGUUUCCGGAUUGACUGGGUGGAAAGGGCGUGUAGCCGGGUUGACAAGUCAGAUGUGAAAUCCUGCGGCUUAACCGCAGAACGGCAUUUGAAACUGUUGAUCUUGAGUACUGGAGAUGCAGCUUGCAUUCCUUGUGUCGCGGUGACAUGCGUAGCUAUUAGGCGGAACACCAGUGGCGCAGGCGGUCUGCUGGACAGCAACUGACGGUGAGGCGC
rnacentral:rRNA from 1 species